UUAUGUUUGUUACCUCGUCGUGGAUGUCGCGUGCAGUGUUUGUUUUUUACUUAAUUAGAAACUCGGAGAGGAUGGAUCCAGUGUGUAGAGGCAGCAACAGCGAAGCAGUUCGUGAGGAUUGCCAACGCACUGAAAUCCGUGGGGUUUGUUCGCUCUGCUAUAUAAUGCAACGACGAUGCCGGGGGAGCGCACCGGGGUAUCUUCCUGAUCGACCUCUCCUUGCCUGCACUUUGCGGAGGUUACAGGAUCAUGCCACAACGUGCUGAUAGGACCAUUGCAGUGCAUGUUCUGACAAAGGACUUGGAAGGUGCCUGAUCUGUAAGCCACAUUCCGUAGGAAGAGGUCCUCCGUCGCAAGGGGUCGAAAGGCUGCUUCUUCUUCCGUGGAGGAUUUCGCCACGUUGGGGGGAGGGUAAUUGGUUUUUGUGUGCUCGAUUUUGUGCUCGAUUUGUGCAUGCAUCAACGUCAUCGGGAUCGGAACUGUACUGGAGUCAGUAGGUGUUCCUUCACCCCAUGGUUCUGGAAGAGAGGGGUUUGGGUGAGUUUUUGUGGCGGAGAGGGUUUAGGAGAUAUUCGACGGGAGGGAGCUGUAUCCUGUUCCGGGUAAACCUCAGUUUUCAGGGUUAUUUGGGUGAUGGAUUGAAUUCAACGCCAAUUACUUGUAGGUGUCGGUUGCCUGAUUUCACAGUAGUUGGAAUUUGGAUUUGGGUUGAAGAUGCUGAACUCCUUCUGGUUUUGAAAUCCUGGAACGGAGUUAGGUAAAAAAUUUAGUUUCUGCAACUUUUGGUGCGAGGUUCCAAGCAUAUACGUGUGCUUGCUUGUUUGUCACUCUGGAAGUACUGCUCAGUUAGACUUGGUCAAACCACGAUUUGUUGUCGCUAGCUCACUCUUGCGCCUGCACCUGUAUUGUCUCCCAUCUACAUUGUGGGCUAACUGAGAACUUAGACGUAACUGAGCAGCAGGACUUUAAGUAUCUUUCCAGAUUCGAGUGAUCGAAGGGAGAGUUUUGGAACCAUGUAGGCUUCCAAGUCAAUUGGACAAUUGUAAUUGGGCUCGAAGAGUAAGAAGGAAGGUAAUUCUCAUCGAUGGAGAGUAAGGCGGAAGGAGCUACAAAUCGUGUCCAGCCUUGCAUUCUCUACCGAAACUUUAGGAAUCCUUCACGAGGAAAAUUCCUGUUCAUUCUUCCAUUCUCUCAGCCGUGAGCGUGCUGGACCCAGAAUUGCGAACAUGACUUGGACGGGAAAGUGUUGAAGGGAGCGCCAAGAGAGGGCAAUGGGGAGGAAACCAUGCUGCGAAAAAGUAGGGCUCAAGAGAGGGCCAUGGGCUGCAGACGAAGACAAAAAACUUGUCUCCUACAUCAACGCCCAUGGGGUUUCCUGUUGGCGUGCCAUUCCCAAGCUAGCAGGUUUGCUGCGAUGCGGCAAGAGUUGCCGACUUCGCUGGACGAAUUAUCUGAGGCCUGAUUUGAAACGUGGAGGCUUCACUGACGCAGAAGAGAACUUAAUCCUUGACCUUCAUGCUACCCUUGGCAACCGGUGGUCAAAGAUUGCGAUGCAGCUUCCUGGACGCACAGAUAACGAGAUAAAAAAUUACUGGAAUACGCACUUGAAGAAGAAGCUUUGCAGCAUGGGCUUGGAUCCCGUUACACACAAGCCUGUCGAUUCAGCCUGCACCGAUGGUGACACAGAGACCGCCGACGAAGGUAAUCUUGAUUCCUCCGAGGGCCACUCAGGCCACUCUAAGGUGAUGGAGAAUUCUCUGGCCUCAAAAGUUUCGGACGAAUUGGCACAAUUAAAGACCAUCGACUACCUCGGUGAGAGAAUGGAUACUCAAAAGCCAUUUCCGACCACCUGCAACGAGAUUCCCGAGCAGGGUGCCAUCAGUGGCAAGUCUUGCAGCUUAGAUACCACCAAUUCGUUCAAGGAGCACAAACCUGAUGUAUUCGUCAAGCUUGAAGAAGGGACAUAUACUACCGGGCCUGAUCAUAUGAAUGCCAUCGCACUUGAGAAUCACACUCCUCUAGGCCCAAAUUCUGAAGGUGCUGCGGAUUCUUGCUGGUUGCCUCAGGAGCAGUCUCUAGAUACUGCAGUUGGUGGCAGUUCAUUUUACCAGGAGGUUGCUGUAAUGAACGGCGGAGGUUUGUUUCGUCAGCUUUCGGGGUUCACCCAAUCCAACAUGGCUACAGCAGGUUGGUCGACAUACUUUGGAGAGACACCGGGUCAACCUUCCUCUACUGGAUGCAGCAUCUCUUCGUGGAACCAAUCCUUUGUGCAACCACCAGGAGUUCCACCGUCUAAGGAGAUUCAGAAGCUAGCUGCCAUCCUGGACCAGAUUUAACCCCUGGCCAAAUAUUGGACCUGGCUUACUCCAGUUGAGUAUUUGCGUGCAUGCAUGACCACAAUGACCUGCUCGAGUGGUUUCGUGCCAUGGCUCCGCAUCUGCUCUGCAAAAGCUGUGCUUGGCCUGCUCUGGUCUAUCGGAAGCGACAUAUUUCAGCAGGCGACAGCACUGCGUCUUGCUUGGGAGUGAUGAUCCACAGGCUUUACAGCAUGCGAUGCGAUGCUGGAGAUUGAUGAUCUAAUGCUGUUGUGCUGGCUCCAUGUCUGUUGUCCGAGUGAAUGUCAACAUGGCAGGAUCAUAGCGUAAAUUUGCUCGAUCGUCAUGGCUUCAUUCUCGAAGUGCACAUGACUGCAAUCGCUGUCAAGAACACCCAAGCGCAAGGUUCCUCAACGAAAUUCAGUGCACCCUUUUAAAGCUGCUUCAAAUAUACUGACAUCUCUGCACACUCUGAUGGGCACUACAUCUCCUCUACAGACUAGCGCUACAAUUCCUAGCCACCUAAUUCCGACGAGGAUGUGAAAAACUAGCUGCCUUGUGUACAGAUUCAAGUCCAGCUUCAAGACGGAUUCAACUGUUUUUACCGAUGUAUUACAAGCUGCCUGCGAUAUCGUCGACUGGCCUUCUACUGUACAGAUAAAGUGGUUGUUCCGAUAUUUGUACUAGUUUCGGUGGACUGUUAUUUUGGAUCAUAUUUUCUAGAUAUUUGGCUUGUGAUUAGAACGGGGGUGUCGUUUCGACUGCAUUAUGACCAAGUUACAUGUGGUACGAAUAAAAAUCAGAUCCUCAGCCGCAAUUCAAACCCCUGUGGUGGUUCAUUGUUCCUUUCAGCAGAAGUUUCGAAACCUGAAAUGUACAUUUUGAAUCAUAUUCCAUGUAUGGUGAUGGAAAUAGUGUGACUUUGUUAAUCAUAUUUGCCGAAAGCUUCUUUUGCUAGGGUUUGGACAUUGGUGCAAAAUUUUUGAUUAGACUUGGGUAAGAUUUUUUGAUUUUAGAUAUUAAACAUCAACAACAAAUCUCAUCAAAUGUGAUGAGAAUGUUUAUUGGUGCAUGUAGUGGUCAAAACAUUGUUUAGAGAUAAAAAUAUUUAGUGUAUAAAUCAAAGUUAUGUUAAUGUUAGUGUGUUUAAAGAU